GGGAGUAUUUGGCGUCUGGUGGCGCCCUCGGUCUUCAAAACCGCUGUAUCCGCUUCGCGGUGGAUGGGUCGGGUUCGAUUCCCACAUACUCCCG
rnacentral:tRNA from 1 species